CCUACGGGAGGCAGCAGUGGGGAAUAUUGCACAAUGGGCGCAAGCCUGAUGCAGCGACGCCGCGUGAGCGAUGAAGGCCUUCGGGUCGUAAAGCUCUGUCCUAAGGGAAGAAUAAUGACGGUACCUUAGGAGGAAGCCCCGGCUAACUACGUGCCAGCAGCCGCGGUAAUACGUAGGUGGCGAGCGUUAUCCGGAAUCACUGGGCGUAGAGGGUGCGUAGGCGGCCCUGCAAGUCAGGAUUUAAUUCCAUCGGUGCAACGGAGGUCAGCUCUUGAAACUGUAGGGCUUGAGUGUAGGGGAGGGUAGCGGAAUUCGUAGUGUAGAGGUGAAAUGCGUAGAUAUUAGGAGGAAUACCAGUGGCGAAGGCGGCUCUCUGGACUGCAACUCACGCUGAGGUACGAAAGCGUGGGGAGCGAACAGUAUUAGAUAUCCCUGUAGUC
rnacentral:rRNA from 1 species